AUUUAUAGGUACAUACUAUAUCAUAAAUAUGAAAAUAAUAUGGAAUAAGAAAAUAAUAUAUUUCCAAUAAAAUCACGCGAAAAUAAAGUAAUAAUUUUUUCCACUUGAAAGUAAGGGAACAAUUUUUUUUCCUAAUUUGGGUCAUAAACUCAACAAGAACGUCUCUGGUUAGGCUCUUAUUCAACGCCUGAAGCCGCAGCAAUAGCACACGAUGUUGCAUUUUAUUGUCUACGAGGAACUUCAUCAAUCGAAAAAACUCAACUUCCCUUCAAUGUUACCAACAAAUGCUCGGACAUGAUUGUCACCUAGGUCGAUGCAGAAUGUGGCCUCAGAUGCUGGCAUGGCCAUGGACGCUCAAUUAUCUUCAAAGAACAACACGAAUAUAAAUAAGUAUUGUGAAACAUCAUGGGAGGGGAAUGAUCAGUCUAGAGAAGGUGAAGCUUUGAGCAUUUCAUUUGAAGAUUAUCUAUAGAUCGGUUAUCUGAAUGAAGGUUAUUUUUGGUCAUAGAAAUAUGUGUUUUCUCAGAGACAGAGAGAAUACAAUAGUGCCUCCAGGUAGGGGCAGAUCCAAGAAUUUUGUGAGCACGGGCUAAACAGUGAUAUCAUCAGCUUGACCAUUGGGACUCGACCCAUGGGUGGCUCGUGCUUAUUUCAGGGCAAAACCUAGCAGUCUAGCAUGAAUCGAGCGGACAUUUUCAGCGAGCAACUCAUGGACGACACAACAAUAACAAUCAUUAAGCCAACAAGGCAAAAAGAAGUCAACAACAACUAUUAAGCCCAACCAAACACACUAUUACAUAUGAAUUAAGCUCAACACAGUUCAAUAUAAAAAUCAUUGUAUAAAACACCAAAAAAAAUCAUAUAAAGAUAAUACAAAGAUUAUUAGGCUCAACACAGUUCAAUAUAAGAAUCAUUGCAUAAAACACCAAAAAAAUCAUAUAAAGAUAAUACAAAGAUUAUUAGCUUACACGGUCAUUUGAUCCCGGCUUCUUCAAACCAAUGAGUGAUUUUAUCCACUUCCCGGAACCACCCAUUCCGGAAGAAAAUUAAAUUAAAGAUUAAAACACUCAAUUUUUUUUUCCAGUAUAUGAAGACAAAACAAAUCGAAUUAUAGAGAUUUUUUUGCAAUGAGCUUUCAUCAAUCUUUUCACUAAAUACGAAUUAAUCAAAGUAAACAAAUAUGGGGAAAAAACAGAGACAUUAAUGGCCCGAAUAUGCAAAAUAAAUAAAUAACUCAAAAUUGAAAUACAAAAACAAAGAAAGAAAUUUCUAAAAUGAUGGGAAAUCAAAUUACUGCUAAUUCGAUUCUUAAAGGUGAGGCAUUUCAACUGCUCGAUUGUCCAUCAAUUCCCGCUUUACCGUUCGCACCAUUGUUUGAUUGUUCUUGCAAGACAAAUAGGAAAACGAGAAAGUGAAAAAAUGACGGGGUAAUCCGAUUGUUUGAACAAAAUAGGUAAGUGAAUUUUGACUUUUAUAACCUAGAUGGUAAGUAGUUGUGACAAAGAUUUCGGGGGUAACGUAUGGCGUGAAUGUAGGAAAUUGAAAUUUGAAACAUCUGAGAAAUGGGAUUUUGGGGCUGUGUGUUGAGGGAGAGGGAGGCUAUUAGCAGUAGGUUUAGGUUUGGG
rnacentral:lncRNA from 1 species